rnacentral:rRNA from 1 species
UACGGGGGGAGCAAGCGUUGUUCGGAUUUACUGGGCGUAAAGGGUGCGUAGGCGGGUCUUUAAGUCAGGGGUGAAAUCCUGGAGCUCAACUCCAGAACUGCCUUUGAUACUGAAGAUCUUGAGUUCGGGAGAGGUGAGUGGAACUGCGAGUGUAGAGGUGAAAUUCGUAGAUAUUCGCAAGAACACCAGUGGCGAAGGCGGCUCACUGGCCCGGUACUGACGCUGAGGUGCGAAAGCGUGGGGAGCAAACAGGG